rnacentral:rRNA from 1 species
AUUGAACGCUGGCGGCAUGCUUUCCACAUGCAAGUCGAACGGUAACAGGCCGCAAGGUGCUGACGAGUGGCGAACGGGCGAGUAAUGCAUCGGAACGUGCCCAGUCGUGGGGGAUAACGCAGCGAAAGCUGCGCUAAUACCGCAUACGAUCUCUGGAUGAAAGCGGGGGACCGAAAGCACUCGCUCGAUUUGAGCAGCCGAUGGCGGAUUAGGUAGUUGGUGGGGUAAAGGCCUACCAAGCCAACGAUCCGUAGCUGGUGUGAGAGGACGACCAGACACACUGGGACUGAGACACGGCCCAGAGUCCGACGGGAGGCGGCAGUGGGGAAUUUUGGACAAUGGGCGCAAGCCUGAUCCAGCAAUGCCGCGUGAAGGAAGAAGGCCUUCGGGUUGUAAACUGCUUUUGUACGGAACGAAACGGGCCGGGUUAAUACCCUGGGCUAAUGACGGUACCGUAAGAAUAAGCACCGGCUAACUACGUGCCAGCAGCCGCCGUAACAC